rnacentral:rRNA from 1 species
GAUGAACGCUGGCGGCGUGCCUAAUACAUGCAAGUCGAGCGAACGGACGAGAAGCUUGCUUCUCUGAUGUUAGCGGCGGACGGGUGAGUAACACGUGGAUAACCUACCUAUAAGACUGGGAUAACUUCGGGAAACCGGAGCUAAUACCGGAUAAUAUUUUGAACCGCAUGGUUCAAAAGUGAAAGACGGUCUUGCUGUCACUUAUAGAUGGAUCCGCGCUGCAUUAGCUAGUUGGUAAGGUAACGGCUUACCAAGGCAACGAUGCAUAGCCGACCUGAGAGGGGGACCGGCCACCCUGAAGGUGAGACACGGUCCGGAGUCGGACGGGAGGCAGCAAUAGGGAAUGUUCCGAAAUGGGCGAAAGCCGGACGGAGCAACGCCGCGGGAGUGAUGAAGGUCUGCGGAUCGUAAAACUCUGUUAUUAGGGAAGAACUGAUGUGUAGUAACUGUGCACAUCUUGACGGUACCUAAUCAGAAAGCCACGGCUAACUACGUG